UAUGUUGGUGAAUUAUACAGCCCUUUUUGGUGAGCUUGCUCUUUUCUCUGUGUUUGACCCUUAUCUUGCAAAUGUUAAUGUAUUUGCUGAGUUUGGUACAGAUUUAUCAGACUUAACUGGAGGAUGGGUAUCACAAAUGUAUACUUAAACAGUUACAUGUGUUUUAACUGGUUCAUUGCAGAUCCUGCACUCCAGCCUGUCACUUUCCAGUGAGCUUCACUGUAAUCACAGUGAAUCACAAUGAAAUUCUUUUGUGUGUGGGUAGGGCACUCGCAUGGCAAACCCAAAUUCAAGUCCUUGCUCUACUUGAUUCAGAGCAGAGUUUUUCAUCCCAGACCACUAUAAAUCAAGCAGAGGAGGAACUUGAAUAUUCCACAUCUCAGGCCCUAAUCACCAAGCUAUAGUCAGUCUCUCUCUUUCUUUGACCCAAAGCUUUCCUGAUGAAAGUUUGAUGGCGACUGAUACAUCCCUGCAAAAUGUUUCCGCUUCGACGAAUCAGCAUUUUUUACCAAACUGUAAUUUCAGUGACAAUGUUCUUACUAGCUCUACUCAUGUCACAAUAUGCCCAUCUCAUUCGGAUUAUCAUGGGAUUUCACUUUACUCUUAUGGAUUUGAUGGGUUCAGGCCUGGCCCAAUGCCUCUGUGCUCGAGCUAUUCCUAGCUGCUGGAACUACGCUUAUCAGAAUAGCUCUACUCUAACUUACACCAACCGCAGACACAUAGCGGCACUGUAUAGCUACCAAGGUGACACAGAGCCACCUUUGCAACCCCUUAGUUUGUGUGCUGAGUGCAGCCUGCCCUGACUGAAGUGGUAGAGCUUUUGUUUCAAACUGCCUAUUUGCAGGGUCAGACAGUUGUGCAGCACGUCACAUUUGCAAGGUUUUCUUUGCACACAUAUACCUAGAAAGUUAAUAAAAAACCCAAACCCAUAGAUUUUACAGCCAGAAGAGACCAUUAUGAUCAUCUAGAUUGACCUCCUGUAUAAAAUUACUACUUUUCACAGGACACAGCAUUUCACCCCAGGAUUUCUGCAUCAAGCCCAUAACUUCUGGAUUAGCUGUGACAAAGAGUUUAAAUUCUGCAUACUUUGACAAAGUUUAAAUUUUGUAGAAACUGCUGGAGCCACUAGAAAAGUACCAGGACACUGUGCCACCACCUGCUGUAACUAAUUCAAGUGCUGCAGACAGAAAGAAUUGUUAGACACCGUAACUCACCCACUCCCGGGGAGGAGGGACCAGAAACCCUGGCCCCUGUUUCUCCUUUAGCAGAUAUUCCAGGUUAGAACUUUUUUCAAAAUUUAGAGGUGCUGAUUUAGACCCAGGUCUCACAAAAUAUCAUAUAUAGCAUCAUGAUCAUACUGAAAUAGCUUACCGUGAAUCCAAGUGUUGUCUCUAUUAUUUGUUUUCGUUAGAACAAGCUUUGGCUAUACAUGUAGAACAGAAUGCAAAACACUUGAACUUAAGUUCCAUUUGGCUUUGGCUUAGGCUUAAAACACAUGAUUUGGAGUGCUAUGCAUUUUUAGUUUAUAUCUCAGUAGUUGGAGAAGCAGGGCAAGAAUGACUUUCUCUGUGAGAAACCUUAUUGUUGAAUAACACAGGCUUCUGUUGGUGAGAGACACCACUGAGGGGUUUGUUUAAAUUUCCUUUGGGGGAAAAAUGCAAUUAUUUAAAUGAAGGGGGGGAUGUUUCACAAAACAAAAAUAGAGCUCUUGAAACCCCAAACUGCUAUAACUUUCCACUCUAGGCAAUUAAAAAAACAUGAUACAAGACAGCACUCAUUUGUCUUUUAAUUUUCUUUAAUUUCAUUAUGCCUCAUUUUGAAGAACCUCUGAUACAAUACGAUUUGUAAUAUAGUUUUGAUAUUUUUAAAUUAUAUUUGCUUAGCUUUAUACACACACAUACACACUCUCUGAAUUAUAGUUAUGCUGUAAAGAUGCUUUUGCUGAAAGCCUUUGAAGGUCAUUUUUCACCAUAUAUGGAUUGAAAUAAUAUCAACAAAAAUAACUCUAGGAGUUUUAGGAACCCACUGGGUUACCCCAUCCUUAAGUUUUAGGAACCCUCUGGAUUGUCUCAUGCUUGGUAGUCUGAAAAUUCAUAAACUUCCCACCUGCAAUAGUUGACAAAAUGUAUUAGAACUUGUUUUUAAUUGCUGUUGACUUUUCCAGACUCACGGCUGUUAAAAUGAGGCUCAGACACUAAAACUGCUGAAGCCCAAUGUGAGAGACUGUAAUAAGUUCCCAGGCUGGUUCACAAUCCUGUUAACAGGCCAAGAACAAGUCCUUUAAAGUGAAUAUGAGAACACUGAAAACUGUUCCCAUUCUGAAUUGAACUGAGAUAGGCUCAAGCCAUGACAUUGGGAAUUGACUCCCAAACUUCAUAAAUGUCGGGGGAGGAGAUGGUUUGAUCCAGAGCUUUGGUUCAGCCCAUCAUGAUACUAAAGGCCACGUGCAAAGUGUAGAACAGAACCUCCACAGAAGGCAAGAGUGUUCACAUUCCUGGUUUUGCUUCAGGUUUAUCACUAGCAUUAAACCUGUCCCUUUUGUCAGUACAAUGGAGAAGUACUUUGGAUUGUGUACUGUUGGAGAGAGGCAUUCAUUAUAUUAUAUCUCACUUCAACAGCAUCUUUGGGAAUCAAGUCUUUUGGCUGUUGAUGAUGAUGAAGUAAAGGAAAUUACAGGGCAUUUAAUGUAACCAGGAGUCAAGCCCAGAGGGAUGGUCUCCACAUUGGAACAAGAUUUUUGCCUACCCAGCAGCAGGCUCACAAAAGCCCACACCUAUUUGGGACAAGGUUAAGUCAGUUCACAGUCUGCCAGUUGCAUUGACUGUAAUGUCUCCCCUGCUUAGGGAAUGUCAAUACUGCUUUCCUGAACUCCACCUGUUAUAUCUAGAGGAAAGGGAGUUAGCAUUGUCUUCCACCACUCGCUGCAAGAAACAUGAUAUCACACUUGAACAAAAACGGGAAAGCUGACAGAUCUAUUGAGAUGGGUGUGACUACAAUACACACCUAAUUGGUCAAGUCCUGUGGAAAGGGCUGUGACUGGCAGCUCUUCAAUGCCGAACACAAACGAGCACACUGUCCAUGUUUAUUGCUAAUCUGUGAAGCUUGCUUUUGUUUCUCACAUGUUCACAUGUCUUCAUGGAUUUUACUUGCUUCCUGUAGCAAUCAGGUAUACACUAUGAGUUGGCUUUAAGAAAGCGAGACCCAGGGGAGAUUUGACUCUGAGAAAGGGGUGUAGUGUUGUCCCAUUCAGUUCAAGUUAAUGAAGCUCUCUUUUUUAUCUUCUGUAUAUAACACUCAGUGCAUAGCCUAUCUGCCUCUAAAGUGAAAAGUCAGUACUGAUCUGAGAGUUAAAUAGGAUGUAUUGCUAUACAUCUACAACAAGCAAGCAACCCACACCACAGAAGAGGAAUACAAAGUAUACAACUUAAUGCAGCAAUAAUUAUACAACAAUAUACACACACUCACCACAUUUUAUGUAAACUUUUUGGCCUGCAGGUAACCACAGACCUUUCCAGAUACUAAAAAACCCCUCAAAACUCCAAACCCUUUCAUUGACCAUUCAUUGUACUUCUGAACAUUUUUGUGAACUUUUAAGAUCAAGAGAUUGUAGAACAAAUUAUACUGCAGUGAAAAAUUCUGUUUUCUUUUGUUACUACCUUCUGUCUCUUACUGUAGCAGUCUGCAGCUAUAUAGCACAUUCCAUUUUAUCUCGAGAUGGCCUGGAGCCAGAAAAAUUAGAUCUGAAGCUACACUUUCAGGGAUGAAUAGAAAAGAUGGUUUGAGACCCAUCUCUAGGUUUAUCCAGUUUAUGGCUUUGUAUCUUACACGGAGGAGAUUACCUAGAAACAGGUCAGAUGGAGACACUAGUGGUGUGAGCAUAUACUUCAAUGCUGAGAGAGAACCACAUGCAAAGAAGAUAAUACUCAGAACAAUGAGUAUUUGAGAAAAGCAUCUCUGAUCCUUAAGGCUCUUAAUGCUAUGAAAUAAACUUUGCAUUAAUAAAAUCAUAAAUAUACAUUUACCAGGUAUGGGAAAUCCAUACCUUACAAUUAGUACUAUUUAGACAAGCAAAUGAUGUCUGGUAAUAAUAUUGUUGAGUCAGACUUGUUUUUAAACAGUGUUUGUAAUGAACCAAUCCACUGUAUUUAAUGCAUAUUAUUCAAGCUUCAAUGUUCACUAAUUAGUUUCUAGACUCAGCAGCUGGAAGAGACUAGCUAAAAAUAAAUACUAGAUAGAACACAUAUCAGAUUUUUACCAGUUAGCUUGUGUUUCACCUCUAUAUUUGUGAAGUAGACAGUCAGAGUCAA